GAGUUUUAUAUUUAAUUUUAUUUUAUAAUUAUAUAAAAAUUUAUAUUGAAAUAAAAUUAAAAUAUUGUAUUGGGGUGAUAGAAAAAUUAAAUUAACUUUUUUUAAAAAAUUAACAUAAAUAAGUGAUUAAAUGAUCCAUUAUUAAUGAUUAUAAGAAAAAAUUACCUUAGGGAUAACAGCGUAAUAUUUUUUUUUAGAACAAAUAAAAAAAAAAGAUUGC
rnacentral:rRNA from 1 species